rnacentral:rRNA from 1 species
AACGAACGCUGGCGGCAUGCCUAACACAUGCAAGUCGAACGAGACCUUCGGGUCUAGUGGCGAACGGGUGCGUAACGCGUGGGAACCUGCCCUUAGGUUCGGAAUAACUCCCCGAAAGGGGUGCUAAUACCGGAUAAUGUCUUCGGACCAAAGAUUUAUCGCCUUUGGAUGGGGCCGCGUUGGUUUAGCUAGUGGGUAGGGUAAAAGCCUACCAAGGCGGCGAUCCAUAGCUGGUCUGAGAGGAUGAGCAGCCAGACUGGGACUGAGACACGGCCCAGACGCGUGGGAGAGGCAGCGAUGGGGGAUAUAGGGGAGUGAGCGAGAUGCUGAGCCAGCGAUGGCGCGUGGAUGGUGAAGGCGUUGGGGUUGUAAUGCGCUUGGAACCAGGAUGUUAGUGACGGUACCGGGAGAAUAAGCACCGGCUAACUCCGUG